rnacentral:rRNA from 1 species
UUCCUACGGGAGGCAGCAGUAGGGAAUCUUCCACAAUGGACGAAAGUCUGAUGGAGCAACGCCGCGUGAGUGAAGAGGGGUUUCGGCUCGUAAAGCUCUUUUGGUAGUGAAGAAAGCUAGAGGGAGUAACUGGCCUUUAUUUGACGGUAAUUACUUAGAAAGUCACGGCUAACUACGUACCAGCAGCCGCGGGAAUACGUAGGUCGCAAGCGUUGUCCGGAUUUAUUGGG